GAUGAACGCUAGCGGCAGGCCUAACACAUGCAAGUCGAGGGGUAGAAGCUUUCGGGCUUUGAGACCGGCGCACGGGUGCGUAACGCGUAUGCAAUCUGCCUUGUACUGAGGGAUAGCCCAGAGAAAUUUGGAUUAACAGCUCAUAGUAUUUUAGUGUGGCAUCACAUUAUUAUUAAAGGUUACGUUACAAGAUGAGCAUGCGUGCCAUUAGCUAGUUGGUAUGGUAACGGCAUACCAAGGCGACGAUGGGUAGGGGUCCUGAGAGGGAGAUCCCCCACACUGGUACUGAGACACGGACCAGACUCCUACGGGGGGCAGCAGUGAGGAAUAUUGGUCAAUGGUCGCAAGACUGAACCAGCCAUGCCGCGUGCAGGAUGAAGCAUCUAUGGUGUGUAAACUGCUUUUGUACGGGAAGAAACACCGCUACGUGUAGCGGCUUGACGGUACCGUAAGAAUAAGGAUCGGCUAACUCCGUGCCAGCCGCCGCGGUAAAAC
rnacentral:rRNA from 1 species